rnacentral:rRNA from 1 species
UGGGGCCUACGGGACGCAGCAGUGGGGAAUAUUGGGCAAUGGGCGCAAGCCUGACCCAGCAACGCCGCGUGUAGGAAGAAGGCUUUCGGGUUGUAAACUUCUUUUGUCAGGGACGAAGCAAGUGACGGUACCUGACGAAUAAGCCACGGCUAACUACGUGCCAGCAGCCGCGGUAAUACGUAGGUGGCAAGCGUUAUCCGGAUUUAUUGGGUGUAAAGGGCGUGUAGGCGGGAAUGCAAGUCAGAUGUUAAAACUAUGGGCUCAACCCAUAGCCUGCAUUUGAAACUGUAUUUCUUGUGUGCUGG